GGUUUUGUGGCCUAGUUGGCUAUGGCAUCUCUUUAACAUCGAGAAGUUCCCCGGUUUAAUCCCGGGCGGAACCA